UCGGACAUUGGCUCGCUGUCCACACUGCAGAAAAGUUUCAUCGAUUGGCCAGAGGUACCCUAGAAAGCGGAGUUUGAUAUGUUUCCUGCUGUGCUUGAUCUGCAUUAUAACGACUGCAGGAUUGAUUGCUGGCACGUGGUGGAAGGCACUGAAAUAUAAGGGGAUUUAUGCCUCCUGGGUAUUUUUCAUUCUCCUGGUGCUGAUCACUUUGGUCCGAGCUUUACAUUGGGCCUGCAUGAAAAUCAGUGAACCGCUGCACAACUACUCAUCAUAGGAGUGAUGAAUGUGGAGGAGGAAGGGGUAGAAAUUAAGUGUAAGAGACGAGAAUAAAGAGAAAACAGAGCAAAAAGAUUUUAAUAAAGUGAUGCUCUGUCAGGAAAACAUCCAAGUCAUAUUUCACCCCAAAAUCAAUGCAAAAAAAAAAGUUUAAUUU